rnacentral:rRNA from 1 species
CCUACGGGAGGCAGCAGUGGGGAAUAUUGCGCAAUGGGCGAAAGCCUGACGCAGCGACGCCGCGUGAGGGAUGAAGGUCUUCGGAUCGUAAACCUCUGUCAGCAGGGCAGAACGGUCACUGUGCUAAUCAGCAGUGAAUUGACGGUACCUGCAAAGGAAGCACCGGCUAACUCCGUCCACGCAGCCGCGGUAAUACGGGGGGUGCGUGCGUUCAUAGGAUAUAAUGGGCGUAAAGCGCUCGUAUGCGGUAUGUCAAGUCAAGGGUGAAAUCCCCGCGCUCAACGUGGGAACUGCCUUUGAAACUGGCAAACUGGAGUGUGGGAGAGGAUAGUGGAAUUCCAGGUGUAGGAGUGAAAUCCGUAGAUAUCUGGAGGAACAUCAGUGGCGAAGGCGACUAUCUGGCACAUAACUGACGCUGAGGAGCGAAAGCGUGGGUAGCAAACAGGAUUAGAUACCCUAGUAGUC